CCCGGCGAAUGCCGGCGGGACUACAGUAAUCCAGAGGUCGCGGGUUCAAUUCCCGCCGCCGGGG
rnacentral:tRNA from 1 species